rnacentral:rRNA from 1 species
UACGAAGGGUGCAAGCGUUACUCGGAAUUACUGGGCGUAAAGCGUGCGUAGGUGGUUUUUUAAGUCCGUUGUGAAAGCCCUGGGCUCAACCUGGGAAUGGCAGUGGAUACUGGAAAGAUAGAGUGCGGUAGAGGGUAGUGGAAUUCCCGGUGUAGCAGUGAAAUGCGUAGAGAUCGGGAGGAACACCAGUGGCGAAGGCGGCUACCUGGACCAGCACUGACACUGAGGCACGAAAGCGUGGGGAGCAAACAGG